rnacentral:rRNA from 1 species
UACAGAGGGUGCGAGCGUUGUCCGGAAUCACUGGGCGUAAAGGGCGCGUAGGCGGUCUCUUAAGCGUGUGGUGAAAGCCCGGGGCUCAACUCCGGGUCGGCCGUGCGAACUGCGAGGCUGGAGCACUGUAGAGGCAGGUGGAAUUCCGGGUGUAGCGGUGGAAUGCGUAGAGAUCCGGAAGAACACCGGUGGCGAAGGCGGCCUGCUGGGCAGUGGCUGACGCUGAGGCGCGACAGCGUGGGGAGCAAACAGG